rnacentral:rRNA from 1 species
GACGAACGCUGGCGGCGUGCUUAACACAUGCAAGUCGAACGGAAAGGCCCUGCUUUUGUGGGGUGCUCGAGUGGCGAACGGGUGAGUAACACGUGAGUAACCUGCCCUUGAUUUUGGGAUAACUUCAGGAAACUGGGGCUAAUACCGGAUAGGAGCUCCUGCUGCAUGGUGGGGGUUGGAAAGUUUCGGCGGUUGGGGAUGGACUCGCGGCUUAUCAGCUUGUUGGUGGGGUAGUGGCUUACCAAGGCUUUGACGGGUAGCCGGCCUGAGAGGGUGACCGGCCACAUUGGGACUGAGAUACGGCCCAGACUCCUACGGGAGGCAGCAGUGGGGAAUAUUGCACAAUGGGCGGAAGCCUGAUGCAGCAACGCCGCGUGCGGGAUGACGGCCUUCGGGUUGUAAACCGCUUUCGCCUGUGACGAAGCGUGAGUGACGGUAAUGGGUAAAGAAGCACCGGCUAACUACGUG